CCUACGGGUGGCAGCAGUGAGGAAUAUUUGUCAAUGGGCUCGAGCCUGAACCAUCCAAGUAGCGUGAAGGAUGACUGCCCUACGGGUUGUAAACUUCUUUUAUAAAGGAAUAAAGUGAGUCACGUGUGCCUUUUUGUAUGUACUUUAUGAAUAAGGAUCGGCUAACUCCGUGCCAGCAGCCGCGGUAAUACGGAGGAUCCGAGCGUUAUCCGGAUUUAUUUGGUUUAAAGGAAGCGUAGAUGGGUUGUUAAGUCAGUUGGGAAAUUUUGCGGCUCAACCGUAAAAUUGCAAUUGAUACUGGCAGUCAUGAGUACAGUUGAGGUAGGAGGAAUUCGUGGUGUAGCGGUGAAAUGCUUAGAUAUCACGAAGAACUCCGAUUGCGAAGGCAGCUUACUAAACUGCCACUGACAUUGAUGCGCGAAAGUGUGGGUAUCAAACAGGAUUAGAUACCCCAGUAGUC
rnacentral:rRNA from 1 species